rnacentral:misc_RNA from 1 species
GCCCUCUCCAACAUACAUUGAAUAUAAUUCUGCACCACUCAAAGAAAAAAAGGAAGCUUGGGCAGCGUUAGCUGCAGCUUUAGCUAGAGUAGUUUUUGAGCAUCCUGGAGGCCCAUGCAGAAGGACACCACGAAUAGGUGAUAUACCCAUCCUUGCAAAUGCAGCAGAAUGUUUAAUAGGCCACUCAACAGCCUGUUGGAGCUUUUUCUUCAAAUCCUUUAAUCCACCAAUAUCUGCCCAAGAUACCUUGGGGAUUUCCACAGUAACACCUCUUGUUAUGCUAGGGC